rnacentral:rRNA from 1 species
UACGUAGGUGGCAAGCGUUGUCCGGAAUUAUUGGGCGUAAAGCGCGCGCAGGCGGUCCUUUAAGUCUGAUGUGAAAGCCCACGGCUCAACCGUGGAGGGUCAUUGGAAACUGGGGGACUUGAGUGCAGGAGAGAAGAGUGGAAUUCCACGUGUAGCGGUGAAAUGCGUAGAUAUGUGGAAGAACACCGGUGGUGAAGACGGUUUACUGGGCUGUAACUGACGCUGAGGCGCGAAAGCAUGGGGAGCAAACAGG